UGGGGAAUAUUGCGCAAUGGGGGGAACCCUGACGCAGCCAUGCCGCGUGAAUGAAGAAGGCCUUAGGGUUGUAAAGUUCUUUCGGUAUUGAGGAAGGUUGAUGUGUUAAUAGCACAUCAAAUUGACGUUAAAUACAGAAGAAGCACCNUGCUAACUCCGUGCCAGCAGCCGCGGUAAUACGGAGGGUGCGAGCGUUAAUCGGAAUAACUGGGCGUAAAGGGCACGCAGGCGGUUAUUUAAGUGAGGUGUGAAAGCCCCGGGCUUAACCUGGGAAUUGCAUUUCAGACUGGGUAACUAGAGUACUUUAGGGAGGGGUAGAAUUCCACGUGUAGCGGUGAAAUGCGUAGAGAUGUGGAGGAAUACCGAAGGCGAAGGCAGCCCCUUGGGAAUGUACUGACGCUCAUGUGCGAAAGCGUGGGGAGCAAACAGGAUUAGAUACCCUGGUAGUCCACGCUGUAAACGCUGUCGAUUUGGGGGUUGGGGUUUAACUCUGGCGCCCGUAGCUAACGUGAUAAAUCGACCGCCUGGGGAGUACGGCCGCAAGGUUA
rnacentral:rRNA from 1 species